rnacentral:rRNA from 1 species
UACGUAGGGUGCAAGCGUUAUCCGGAAUUACUGGGCGUAAAGCGCACGUAGGUGGUUUGCUAAGUCAGCUGUGAAAUCCCCGGGCUCAACCUGGGCACUGCAGUUGAAACUGGCAAGCUAGAGUAGGGUAGAGGGGUGUGGAAUUCCAGGUGUAGCGGUGAAAUGCGUAGAUAUCUGGAGGAACAUCAGUGGCGAAGGCGACUUACUGGACACAUAUUGACGCUGAGGUGCGAAAGCGUGGGGAGCAAACAGG